CCACGAAGUUGAUCUUCAAAAAAAUGGAAUUUACUCUGGCAUGCUCCUAUGUAUGACACCUUUCCAAGGCCAAAUCCCAAGAGACCAGCAACUGCAACUUUGGGCAAUGAUCCAAAUCUAGGAUUAGCUGCCAAAUAACCUAAGGAGUAAUACAGAAAUACACUAUGAUUCAAUUCUCAGUUGACUUUAACUCCCAGAUAGUCAUUUUAGGUAAAUUACAAAUAUCAGCUUUAAUGUGUAGAAAAAUAAUAUGAAACAGAAAAUUCAAGACUGAUUCAAAGACAUCAAGCAAAGGUAGGGCUAACAACAGUGUUCAAAGACAUUAGUCAUCCUCUUUCCCUUUUAAACAACUCAACAUAGAAAGUUUCCAUGUGCACAUUCACAUAUCACUAUUUUACAAUGCAAACAGUACAACUCAUGGUAGUUAGAACAAUGGCCUUCUAGAGAUACCCAAGUCCGAAUUCCUGGAAAAGGUGAUAUAUUAUGUCACAAAAUGGGGAUUAGGUGGAAAAUGGAACUAAUGUUGCUAAUCAGAUAACUUUAGAGAGAGGAUCCGGGUGGGUCCAAUGUGAUCCUUCAGUGUGGAAGAGGAAACUGGUGAUGGAACAGAGAGAUGGCAGCAAGAGAAGAACUUGGCUCAAUGUUGUGGACUUUACGGUCAUAGGAAGGGGCCAUCGGUUAAGAAAUAUGGGUGGGUCUAGAAGCUGGAAAGGAAAAGUAAGCCCAAGAGCCUUCAGAAGGAACA